AUUUAUAUAGUUUAAAAUAAAACCUUACAUUUUCACUGUAAAAAUAAAAUAUCAAUUUUUAUAAAUA
rnacentral:tRNA from 1 species